rnacentral:rRNA from 1 species
GACGCUGGCGGCGUGCUUAAUACAUGCAAGUCAACUUGACUUUAGAUAGCAAUAUCGAAAAUAGGGUGGCGCAACGGGUCGCGUAACGCGUAGGUAAUCUGCCCUGAGGUCUGACAUAAACCCGUCGAAAAGGCGGGCUGACAUCAGAUGAUAUAUAAGUCACGACAUCGUGGAAAUAUCAAAUCUUCGGAGCCUUGGGAUGAGCCUGCGUCUGAUUAGGUAGUUGGCGGAGUAAUAGCCCACCAAGCCUACGAUCAGUAGCUGGUCUGAGAGGAUGAUCAGCCACACUGGAACUGAGACACGGUCCAGACUCCUACGGGAGGCAGCAGUAAGGAAUAUUGCUCAAUGGGGGAAACCCUGAAGCAGCAACGCCGCGUGAAGGAUGAAAUACUUUGUAUGUAAACUUCUGUAAGAUGGGAAAAAUAUUCUCCUCGGGAGAAUUGAUUGUACCAUCAGAGUAAGCCCCGGCUAACUACGUG